GAUGAACGCUGGCGGCGCGCCUAACACAUGCCAGUCGAACGAUUAAAGCACCUUCGGGUGUGUAUAAAGUGGCGAACGGCUGAGUAACACGUGGGCAACCUGCCCCUUUCAUUGGGAUAGCCACGGGAAACCGUGGAUAAUACCGAAUACUUCGAGACUUCCGCAUGGAAGACUCGAGAAAGCUCCGGCGGAGAGGGAUGGGCCCGCGGCCUGUUAGCUUGUUGGUGGGGUAACGGCCUACCAAGGCAAUGAUGGGUAGCUGGGUUGAGAGACCGACCAGCCAGAUUGGGACUGAGACACGGCCCAGACUCCUACGGGAGGCAGCAGUGGGGAAUCUUGCACAAUGGGCGAAAGCCUGAUGCAGCGACGCCGCGUGCGGGAUGAAGGCCUUCGGGUUGUAAACCGCUCUCAGCAGGGACGAGGCGAAAGUGACGGUACCUGCAGAAGAAGCCCCGGCUAACUACGUG
rnacentral:rRNA from 1 species